CCUACGGGAGGCAGCAGUGGGGAAUAUUGCACAAUGGGGGAAACCCUGAUGCAGCGACGCCGCGUGGGUGACGAAGUAUUUCGGUAUGUAAAGCCCUAUCAGCAGGGAAGAAGAUGACAGUACCUGACCAAGAAGCCCCGGCUAACUACGUGCCAGCAGCCGCGGUAAUACGUAGGGGGCAAGCGUUAUCCGGAUUUACUGGGUGUAAAGGGAGCGUAGGUGGCAUGGCAAGCCAGAAGUGAAAACCCGGGGCUUAACCCCGCGGAUUGCUUUUGGAACUGUCAGGCUGGAGUGCAGGAGGAGCAGGCGGAAUUCCUGGUGUAGCGGUGAAAUGCGUAGAUAUCAGGAGGAACACCGGUGGCGAAGGCGGCCUGCUGGACUGUAACUGACACUGAGGCUCGAAAGCGUGGGGAGCAAACAGGAUUAGAUACCCCUGUAGUC
rnacentral:rRNA from 1 species